GAUGGUGUAGCGAAGUGGUUAACGCGAUAGUUUUGAAUGCAUCAUAGCUAUUCCUCUCCGAGGUCAUGGGUUCAAAUCCCAUCAUCAUCG